CUGUAACAUCCCUGUCUAUCCUCUGUUGUAGAGAGACUGUAACAUCCCUGUCUAUCCUCUAUGUUGUAGAGAGACUGUAACAUCCCUGUCUAUCCUCUGUUGUAGAGAGACUGUAACAUCCCUGUCUAUCCUCUGUUGUAGAGAGACUGUAACAUCCCUGUCUAUCCUCUAUGUUGUAGAGAGGCUGUAACAUCCCUGUCUAUCCUCUGUUGUAGAGAGACUGUAACAUCCCUGUCUAUCCUCUGUUGUAGAGAGACUAACAUCCCUGUCUAUCCUCUGUUGUAGAGAGACUAACAUCCCUGUCUAUCCUCUAUGUUGUAGAGAGACUGUAACAUCCCUGUCUAUCCUCUAUGUUGUAGAGAGACUGUAACAUCCCUGUCUAUCCUCUAUGUUGUAGAGAGACUGUAACAUCCCUG
rnacentral:lncRNA from 1 species